UACGUAGGGACCAAGCGUUGUUCGGAUUUACUGGGCGUAAAGGGCGCGUAGGCGGCACCGCAAGUCGACUGUGAAAUCUCCGGGCUUAACCCGGAAAGGUCAGCCGAUACUGCGGGGCUAGAGUGCGGAAGGGGCACUGGAAUUCUUGGUGUAGCGGUGAAAUGCGUAGAUAUCUGGAGGAACACCGGUGGCGAAGGCGGCAUCCUGGACCGGCAUUGACGCUGAGGCGCGAAAGCCAGGGGAGCAAACGGG
rnacentral:rRNA from 1 species